rnacentral:rRNA from 1 species
UGAGGAAUAUUGGACAAUGGGCGCAAGCCUGAUCCAGCCAUGCCGCGUGUGUGAAGAAGGUCUUCGGAUUGUAAAGCACUUUAAGUUGGGAGGAAGGGCAGUUACCUAAUACGUAUCUGUUUUGACGUUACCGACAGAAUAAGCACCGGCUAACUCUGUGCCAGCAGCCGCGGUAAUACAGAGGGUGCAAGCGUUAAUCGGAAUUACUGGGCGUAAAGGGUGCGUAGGCGGUUAAAUAAGUUAGAUGUGAAAUCCCCGGGCUUAACCUGGGAAUUGCAUUUAAUACUGUAUGACUAGAGUAGAGUAGAGGGAAGUGGAAUUUCCGGUGUAGCGGUGAAAUGCGUAGAUAUCGGAAAGAACAUCAGUGGCGAAGGCGGCUUCCUGGACUCAUACUGACGCUGAGGCACGAAAGCAUGGGGAGCAAACAGGAUUAGAUACCCGUGUAGUCCCUGAGCGGGCUGGCAAGGCGCAU